UGCUUUCUCAUGACCGACUUCAGCAGCAGGCACUAUGCAUAGAUUUAACUCUAGUGCAGAUUUGAAUUUAGUCACAGCAUUACUCUGGCCACCAUUGGAGUACAGGCACAUCUAAAAUGUUUUCUGAGAGUCUAUUAGAACCAGCCUUAAAAACAUGUAUUUGAAAGUGAAACUCAAGAGCCUCCUGGGCCAGAACUCACUCUAAGGAGAGAAGAGACCAGACAUAAAGACUUGAUCAUUGGAAGAUGAGUUCCGGGAUAAUGUUAUUAGCUUUCAAGCAUGUGAUGCAUCCCAAGAGAGCUGUUGACUUCCAGUCUGACCAAAUUCUUUCACGUUGUGGCGUGUACGAUGUAUAAACGUUUUGGAAUGCCUCUGAGACGACUUCUGCCGGUGAGUCUUUCCUCUGAGUGUCUUUGGGGCUAGAACAGUCAUGUCCAUUUCAUUGUUGAUUAGGUGUUCGUAUAAAAAAGAAUUUUUAAAUGCUUUACUUAACAGCUCUGAUUAACACUGAGUAUUUAGAUCCUGAUGUGUCAGUUAUAGACAUUUAAUCUCUCAUCAUUAAAUAUUUCUGCCUCUUUCACUGAAUAGAGGAGGAUGUAUGUGAGCAACAUAUGGGUGGAGUUGAUCUGAACAAGAAUUUAGGGAGGAGAAAAUUAUACGAUCUCUAAUUUUUUUAGGGAGAGGCUGAA
rnacentral:lncRNA from 1 species